GACGAACGCUGGCGGCGCGCUUAAUACAUGCAAGUCGAACGGGAACCUCGGGCUUCGGCCUGGGGGGAGAGUGGCGAACGGGUGAGUAACACGUGAGGAACCUGCCCCGGAGACCGGGAUAACCCAGGGCAACUUGGGCUAAUACCGGAUGCCCUCGUCGGACCGCCUGAUCUGACGAGGAAAUGGAUUCCGCUCCGGGAUGGCCUCGCGGCCUAUCAGCUUGUUGGUGAGGUAACGGCUCACCAAGGCGACGACGGGUAGCUGGUCUGAGAGGACGACCAGCCACACUGGGACUGAGACACGGCCCAAACUCCUACGGGAGGCAGCAGUAGGGAAUCUUGCUCAAUGGGCGAAAGCCUGAAGCAGCGACGCCGCGUGCGGGAUGAAGGCCCUCGGGUCGUAAACCGCUUUUGUACAGGAAGAAACACUCCCUCGUGAGGGAGCUUGACGGUACUGUAAGAAUAAGGAUCGGCUAACUCCGUGCCAGCAGCCGCCGUAACAC
rnacentral:rRNA from 1 species